rnacentral:ncRNA from 1 species
CUCUUGUAUAAGCUCAUUAAUAGGUUUGAGCGUUUCGACCAGGUGACCGUAAAUUGCCCCAGGCUACAAGAG